rnacentral:rRNA from 1 species
AACGAACGCUGGCGGCAUGCCUAACACAUGCAAGUCGAACGAGACCUUCGGGUCUAGUGGCGCACGGGUGCGUAACGCGUGGGAACCUGCCCUUAGGUUCGGAAUAACUCCCCGAAAGGGGUGCUAAUCCCGGAUAAUGUCUUCGGACCAAAGAUUUAUCGCCGUUGGAUGGGCCCGCGUUGGAUUAGCUAGUUGGUAGGGUAAAAGCCUACCAAGGCGACGAUCCAUAGCUGGUCUGAGAGGAUGAUCAGCCACACUGGGACUGAGACGCGGCCCAGACUCCUACGGGAGGCAGCAGUGGGGAAUAUUGGACAAUGGGCGAAAGCCUGAUCCAGCAAUGCCGCGUGAGUGAUGAAGGCCUUAGGGUUGUAAAGCUCUUUUACCCGGGAUGAUAAUGACAGUACCGGGAGAAUAAGCUCCGGCUAACUCCGUG